CAAAACAAUGUCAAAUGACUAACGUGGACCGUGCGUGUGGCGGUGUCGUCCUUGAUUGGUUGGGCAUGUGUUCCUUCCUCCAUGGUUUAAGUUAAAAGAACGAGUUAAGCUUAAUUUCCCGCUCACAACAAUGUCAGGUUUACAAGCACUUCAGGACUACGCCAGCAGCUCUUCAGAUGACAAUGAGGAAGAUUUUACUCAAAAUCCAGCACAUAAAACGAAUGGAAAACGACAGCAAAACGCACUCCUCCCAUCACUGCCGCCAGAAAUACUUGGUAUGUUUGGAGAGCCUUCUAAGAGUCAUUCAUCUUCAGGACAGCAAGAUUCCAGUAGUCAUCACGAAGGACGAGUUCGAUCAUUUGAGCAUGUUGCUGGUAACUGGGCAACUUAUGUGUAUAUUCCAGUGGACAUAACAGAGCAGCUGAAGACAGUAAUGGAAGAUCUUCUUGGUGCCCUGCCCUCUACUGUUGACAUGAAGCCAGUCGCUGACCUCCACAUUAGCAUUUCUAGGACCGUGACCUUACAGUAUCAGUGGAUUGACCCAUUUGUAGACUCUUUGCUCCAACGACUUACUUCAGUGGAAGGGUUCACUUACUGUUUCCAAGACCUGGAAUUCUACAUCAAUGAUGAGAAGACUAGGUCGUUUGUUGGACUGAAGGUUGGAUACGGACAUCCAGAAAUGCUCCAGUUGGUUGAAGUCAUCAAUGUCUGCCUUAAGGAGUUUUCUCUACCUGUCUUUUACAAGGACCCUUCCUUCCAUGUCAGUUUUGGUUGGUGUCUUGGUGAUUACAGCAAGGUUUUAAGUGCCACUACUCUCUCCUCGAUCCAGGAAAGGUUUCUCAGACUUUGUGAGAACGGCUUUCUUCCAGUCACAGUCUCUGAAGUCUGGUGUAAAGCAGGUUGUAAGCAGUUCAGAAUACCACUGGCAAGGUGACAUUGUGGGAUCAAAUUGGACACUUCCAGGUCAAGUCUGAUUGUUCAUUGCGGUUUGUUAUUUCUAAGAAUGGAGACCAUGUGGCACCACACUGGAAAUUAUCAAGAGAGAGGAGAGCCACAAAUGCUGUGAUUUGAAGAAGGAAGUCGAUCAGAACAGCCAAGCCGGCAUACAGAGCAAA
rnacentral:misc_RNA from 1 species